ACGCUCGACACCUACGGGAGGCAGCAGGUGGGGAAUAUUGCACAAGUGGGGGGAACCCUGAUGCAGCGACGCCGCGUGAGUGAAGAAGUACUUCGGUAUGUAAAGCUCUAUCAGCAGGGAAGAAAAUGACGGUACCUGACUAAGAAGCCCCGGCUAACUACGUGCUAGCAGCCGCGGUAAUCUGAGCGGGCUGGCAAGGC
rnacentral:rRNA from 1 species